rnacentral:rRNA from 1 species
AGCAGCCGCGGUAAUUCCAGCUCCAAUAGCGUAUAUUAAAGUUGUUGCAGUUAAAAAGCUCGUAGUUGAAUUUCGGGGUUCUACCGUUGGUCGGGCUUUGUCUGUACUGGCGUGUAGAAUUUCUACCUUCUGGGGAACCAUCAUGUUAUUAAUUUAACGUGGUGGGAAACCAGGACCUUUACCUUGAAAAAAUUAGAGUGUUCAAAGCAGGCUUGUGUCUGAAUACAUUAGCAUGGAAUAAUAAAAUAGGACGGUGGUCCUGUUUUGUUGGUUUCUGAAUCACCGUAAUGAUUAAUAGGGAUAGUUGGGGGCAUUAGUAUUCAAUUGUCAGAGGUGAAAUUCUUGGAUUUAUUGAAGACUAACUUCUGCGAAAGCAUUUGCCAAGGAUGUUUUCAUUAAUCAAGAACGAAAGUUAGGGGAUCGAAGACGAUCAGAUACCGUCGUAGUCUUAACCAUAAACUAUGCCGACUAGGGAUCGGACGAUGUUAAUUUUUCUUGACUCG